CGUGUUACAAUGGGGGGUACAGAAGGCAGCUACCUGGUGACAGGAUGCUAAUCCCAAAAGCCUCUCUCAGUUCGGAUCGAAGUCUGCAACCCGACUUCGUGAAGCUGGAUUCGCUAGUAAUCGCGCAUCAGCCAUGGCGCGGUGAAUACGUUCCCGGGCCUUGUACACACCGCCCGUCAAGCCAUGAAAGCCGGGGGUACCUGAAGUACGUAACCGCAAGGAGCGUCCUAGGGUAAAACUGGUAAUUGGGGCUAAGUCGUAACAAGGUAUC
rnacentral:rRNA from 1 species